UCGGACGUGGUGCACGGUGCACGCCCGCUCUCUCUACUCCACGGCCAUCCUCUGUAGGUGAUGCGGGCGGCCUGGGUUCGACCCCCAGCGUCCGGA